GUAGGUUUAAAUUAACAUUCCCCUGUGGAAGCUGAUGCAGAGAUUUUAAUCAUCUGCCUCCUUCUGCCCUGCUGUAAUCUUGAACUGAGUCGCUACAAGUAGAGCUUUCUGCUACAAUUGGCUCAUGGUGAAUGUUUGAUUGACCCAGCCAUACAGGUAAAUAUAACAUCUAAAAGAACACAAACCCCGAACAAUGAGAGGGGAAUUACACUGGUGAAUGCAGGAUGAGAUCAGUUUUUCAGGUUUCAUAUGCAGCACAACUACUGCUCUCGACUUGCAUGCAGUCCAGCCUUUUUCGAAGAUCAGAUGCUUCCUGUCCGAGCCAGGAAUUUUCGUAGAGGAUCCGAUCGCGCUCCUCCAUCACAUGGUUGAGCUCG
rnacentral:lncRNA from 1 species